rnacentral:rRNA from 1 species
UACGUAGGGUGCAGGCGUUAAUCGGUAUUACUGGGCGUAAAGCGUGCGCAGGCGGUUUGCUAAGACAGGUGUGAAAUCCCCGGGCUUAACCUGGGAACUGCGCUUGUUACUGGCAAGCUAGAGUGUGGCAGAGGGGGGUGGAAUUCCAGGUGUAGCAGUGAAAUGCGUAGAGAUCUGGAGGAACACCGAUGGCGAAGGCAGCCCCCUGGGCUAACACUGACGCUCAUGCACGAAAGCGUGGGGAGCAAACAGG